AAUCUUAUAUCUUAUAUCUUAUAUUUACUAAUUGGAUGCAUCAUUCGAGGCUCCACGUUAAUUCUCAGAAAUUAAGCUUAUCAUCCGUCGGAUCUCAAGAUUAGUUAUUGACAGUCGUCGAAUUAUCCCAGAGAGUCCUCACAUACUGUCCCACCAAUAGUCCAAGCGAAACGUCCAUCCUUAAUCUAGAUGUUGGCGAUGUUCCUCCUAAUUGCCUUUCCUACGCGUCCACGCUGCAAUCCAUCUAAACAGAACCAUACAAUCCAGCCUCUCCCCAAUCCUCCUCCUCUCCAACCUUACUAUUUCUGCAAUCUAAGCUGCAAUCCAUGUUGGACGAUGAGAAGGCGGCGCAUCGCAGUGUGAAUCAGUCGUGCUGCCGCCGGAGGCCAGCCUGAUGGCUUCCUUCUCCUCAAUCUAAUCGCUGCCUCAUCUCCACCAAUCUCUGGUGUUGAAAGUGGCUCUCCACCAAUCGUGCCUCAUCUCAAUCCUGUGAUGUUGCGUCCCCAGGAUCUCACCCAUUUGUUCCCCACUGGUCUCGGGUAGGUUCUCAUCUCCUACAAUUUUCUUUGUCCAAGAUUCUAACCUUCGUUUCCUCCUGGACUCGGUGAUGGUUGCAUCCCAGAUUCCUCUCGAUAGCAGGUGAAUUUGCCCUCCUCUAUGCCUUUAAUUUUUUCUCCUUCGUUUCCUCCUAGAUCUAAGUGAUGGUUGCAUCCCGGAUUCCUCUCCAUAGCAGGUAAAUCUGCCCACCUGUACGCCUUUAAUUUUUUUCUAUUCUUGAUACUACAUUGGUGGUUCAGAUUUUAAUCUCAAGUGACAUAUAGAUAUAUGUUUGAUGGGGCGUUGUGCUAUGGAUGCUUAUAUCGAUGCAUUUAUCUUCUAUUAAUUAUUUCAUUGAUGUUCCAGCUCAGCCGUUAAUGUCAAUGGAUACGCAAAAUCUUCCGCACAAAUAUAUCAUCCGAAGAACUUAAUUGUUCACCCGCAAAAAAAAAGAACUUAAUUGUUGGCCCACUCCUAUCAAUUGUGCUUUAUGGUGAAACGGACCAGGCCAUCAAGAAUACACUCCUAGGAUUUAUACAGUGAGAUUUUUUAAGAUGAAGUUACAUUCAGUUUUGUAAGAGUGCAUUUUAUAAUGUUAUGCAAUACUGCGACUUUUCAUAACCAAUCAAUCUGAAAACCAUAUUAUGAUUUUUUUUUCCAUUUUACAAAUACUUUGUACAGCAACACUGCCAAAUACUAUUUAUUUGAUUUUAUAGGCAAGUCAAUAAAGAUAUGAGUAUUCAUGUUUAUAGCCUACUACAGUGAGGUAGUGCCAAGCCUUAGCUGUACUAUACUAACAUUAAAUUUUACAUAAAUGUUAAAUACUGAAGUUCUGGGCACUACCGCAAUGGGAUUUUAUUGUCUCUUCCUUAUGUGGAACCCUUCUCCGGAGAUAACUACUCCCUGUGUUACAUGGUGUGAUAGAUUUUAGAGAAUCAUGCUUGCAGCUUUAUCAUUCAGUAAGGUAUAUUUGAUGGCCCCCUCUAGUAAAAAGAAAAUUCCCCUGUUCCAUUCCAUAUUCCCAUUAUUCGUCGAGAAUUAUAGGGUGCAUAUUUUUAGCAUACUUCUCUUGCCUCCAGAAUGAAAUUUCUAAGAAAAUUGUAAUGUUGUGCCUCUUCUUAACUAGGACUGAUGCAUCCAGCCGAGGAAUAUGAGUGCUAGAUUCUGAGAGUUCACAACAGGUAUACCUUGAUGGACGUGGUGCUACGGAUGCUUAUAUCGAUGAAUUUAUCUUCCAUUAAUUGAUACAUUGAUGUUCCAGCUCAGCCUUUAAUGUCAAUGGGUACACAAAAACUUCCGCAUGAAUAUAUUAUCUGAAGAAUCUAAUUGAUAGCCCGCCCCUAUUGACUGUGCUUUAUGGUGAAACAGAUCAAGCCAUCAAGAAUACAGUCAUAGGAUUUAUACAGUGAAGUUACUUUCAGAUUUUUUUAAGACGUUCAAUCAGUUUAGUAAUACUGUGUUUAUAAUGUUAUUGUUAACUGCAAAUGAUCAUAAUCAAUCAAUCCGACACCAUAUUAAGUUCUUUCUAUUUUAAAAAUACUUGGUACAGAAAAUAGUGCCAAAUACUAUUUUUUUAAUUUUAUAGGCAAGACAAUAAAUAUAUGAGUAUUCAUGUUUAUAGUCUACUAUGUGAGAUAGUGCCAAGCUUUAGAUGUGCCAUAUUGACAUUAAAUUAUACCUAAAUGUUAAAUAUUAGAAAAAGUUUUGGGCACUACUUCAAUGGAAUUUUAUUGUGUCUUCCUUAUGUGGAACCCUUCUCCGGAGAAAAUUGCUCCCUGUGUUACAUCGUGUAAUCGAUUUCAGAGAAGCAUGCCGGCAGCUUUAGUUAUUCAGUAAGGUAUAUUUUAUGGCUCCCUUUGGUAGAAAAAAUCCCCUGUUCCAUUAAUUAUAGGGUGCAUAUUGUUAGCGUACUUCUCUUGCCUCCAAAAUACAAUUUCUAAGCAAAUGGAAAUGUUAUGAUUCUUCUUAACUCAGAGUGAUGCAUCCAGCCAAGAAAUAUGAGUGCAAUAUCUGUAGAGGUAACAAAUAGUGUUAGUUUUCAGUAUGACUUCCACAUAAUCUAUUUAUGGAUUUUCUUUGCAAUUCCAUGAGUCCAUACACCAUUUUUGUUGGCCUUCCGCCCAUCCUUUAGGUUUUAUUAUCUGCAGUCAAUUGGUAAAAGAUAUGAAUGCCAUCAUUUGACAUAGCAUGGAGAUUGGAGUAUAAUUUCCACAUGACAUGCUCAAGAGGCUUUUCUAUCAUCUAUUAGGUGAUUACCAAAAUUAAGAUAACUGCAGUUCACAACAGGUAUAGUAUAGUACAACUCCGAUGCUCUGUAUAGGGACAUUAGCUAGCUGCAUAUAUCUUCAAAUACCAGUUCUUUUGGCAUGCUGGAGUCUGGAGAUACCACAUUCAUGUUCUUUGAUGUGAAUCCAUCAUCCUAUAUCCCCGUUUUUCUGACUUUCUCUUGCAGAAAGCCUGAUAGACCAACUACGAACAAGCUUAGUGUGAGGUAUAUAUGUACAUUGCUUUGUACACAUUUCGCAAUAAAAGUACACAGUCCGUAGAUACCCAGCAUAGUAGAAAGCUGGAAGUCGUUGAUGCUUAAUGCAAUGGUGCACUGAUCUCAUGUUUGUUCCGAAAAAAUGCUCAUUUUGUGUACCUAGGCGUCAUGUUUCUUAUUCCAAACUUCCUUUCAAGAAAACAAUUGGUAACUAUUUUGUCUACUGCGAAGAAAACUCAAUUUGCUGCUGAGGACAAAACUGGCUAACAGAUUUAUUUACUUGGAGGUAUUUUCAGAUCGAAAGUCCAAACCACUUUGUCUGCUGCAAUGAAAACUCUAUUUGAUGCUGAGGACAAAACCGACAACAAAUUGAUUUACUUGGCGAAAGAAAUAAACAACAGCAGCAGUUUACAUGUACUCCCUCCGUAAUAUAAGAGCGUUUAGAUCACUACACUCUUAUAUUUUACGGAGGAAGUACAUGCUAGGAAGUGGUGACCAAUCGACUAAGUCUUAUCGGAGGAGAUUGGAUGUUAUUAUAAUAACAGAGUACAAUAAUGGACGGGUAGGUUGCAGAUGAUACAUCCCUUUGGGAAAUAUGUUGUACUUCAACUUUUUAGGACAACAAUAUAUUAGAUUCUGAGAUGUGGUUCUUAUGUGAUCAAGGAUAACUUCUUUUACAUGUCAUCAAGUACUAUAACCUGAAGACUUCUUUAACUUUUCUGUGCACAGUGUUUUCUGGAGUUGAAUUAUAUCCAAAGCCAGUAUUCAGCAUAAAAAUUAGUUAAAACUUAUUGAGAAAGAAGAAUAGGACUUCCAAAAUGCUUCAAGAAAGACAAUUUUAGAGCACCAAUUUUUUUCCAUAAGACCACAUAUGUCAUUUCUUCACAAAAAUUCACAUGUAGGUAGAACACUCGAACAUAUUUACUAGAAAAAGAUUCACAAUUAAUUAUUAUUUUGGCUAUUUUCAGUGACCCAUAUGACCGUCCCGACCACUAUAAAGCUAAAAACAACGUGUACAUGAACUUUACAUCUUUCGUCACAUGAAUAUCCUUAAUUGUCCGCGCCUCCCCCUCCCUCUUCCCUCCCUCCGCCGCCGCCUGAGGUGCUUGCCGGCGCGGCCGCGCGACGCCUAUGAAGGUGGCGGCGGGGAUCUGGCGGCUCCGCCUCCGUGGAGGGCCCCGGCGUCUAGAGAGGCGGCUCCGAUGGGUGGUGCUCGGCGUGGCGGGCUGCCUCCCUGGCCGUGCGGGCGGGGGGGGGGGGGGGGGGGGGGGGGUAGCGGGCGCUGGCGUUGCUGCGCCCCCGCGUGGGUCGCCAUGCGCGUCCUGGAGAAGCUCCGUCCCCGACCUCGAUCUGCUCUUGCUCCAGCCCCUGGUGGCUUCGGUCGCCGUCAUGGGGGUCUGGACGGACGGAUCUGGUGGUUGGGCGUGUUUCCGGGGGAAACCCCUGGCCGGCGCGGCGGCCUCACCAAAGGCGACGUCUUUCGGCGCCGUAGUCCUUCCUGGAGGCUUUGGUGUGGUACUCCCCUCCCACCCUUCCUCGAGCACAGGUGAAGACCUGCCCUCCCCUUGCUUGGACGACGGCGGCAUCCGGUGCCGUGCUCCUUCUUGAAGGCGUCUUCCGGGGAUUGCUUGUGUGAGGUGGAGCUGCUGGUGAUGCGGUGACGGUGCAAGGCGGCCUGUUCUUCUCAGUGGCUGCCGUCGUGGUCUCGGUUGCGGAUUUCCAAUCCCUGACCACCGCUUGGCUGUGCCCUUUUUUGGCCUUCUCCGUGGAUCUUCGCCUUCGUUCGACGACUCGCGGCCGACGUCCUGUCCUGCGGCUUCCAGUCAUGGUGCUCUGUGGUCGGCUUCCGAUGCGUGUGGGUCUGCCUCUGCUGUUCCCCUACGGUGGUUGGGCGCCCUGGUCUGGGUUCAUGUAGAACCGCUCUGCCGGCCGCUGGUGCGGCUCCCGUCGAGCCCGGGUGAAUGGGUUGUGGCCCUUUGCGGCGGCAGAGACAGAUCUGGUGUUGCUCUUGUCUGCUUGUGCGAUUGCAGUCAGCGGCACAAUACAAGUCUGAAGUUGCCAUCCUCCUGUAGCCUUAGUUUGGUUGCUUGUUUGGCAUUGCGGUGGUCGUUGGCAACAUUGUUUGUUGUUGCCUUUGAGCUGUUCCUCUUAGCGCUAUGUAUCUUUGCUCCGCUUUGUUUUCUUUUCAUUGUAAUGUGGUUCUACGUAAUCCUGGCCGGUUGAGGGCUCUGUUAAUUCAAAGCCGGGCUAGGUUCGAGUCCUCUCUCGGGCUCGCCGAUGCCUUUUCUCUAAAAAAAAUCCUUAAUGAAAUAAUUGCAUAUCCCAAUAAUAAAGUUGAAAAUUAUAUGCUGAACUAUAAAUAGUGUUCUAAGACCAUUAGGAUAAAACACGUUAUAGAAAAUCAAACUAGCGGAUGGUCUGCUGUGCUCUUUCGAAGUUUGGUGUUCCUGCGAGUAAGAAAUAUGGUCUCGAUCGCCUCUUGCUUAUUCAGAUCUACAGUGUAGAUUGUAUGUCCCUAUUUAUGAUUCUUUUUUUUUUCCAGUUGGCGUACAGCUUAAUCCCAGGUGGCGUACAGUGCGGAAGGAGUAUAGUUGGUAGCUUGGGUUUCAGAGUCACUUGCUGAUACUGAAGCUAUUCUGGCGGGGGAAUUGAUGGGAUUUAAUGAAAAUUUAUUUGAGGUAAUAUUCCAUUUUCUAUUUUCUAGAUUUUAUUUUGGACGACAUGUUUCCCUGCUUUGUUCGAAUGUCCAUGCAUUCUCCACAUUCUUCUUUUGUACUAACAAGAAUGCACCGUACCCAAAAUCCAAGAAACUAAUUUAUUACUUGCAUUUAUGUACUGAAUUUGUCACUGCAUUUAUGUAUCUUAGUGGUAAAUUGGAUCGCCAAAAAUUUGUGCCGUUGUCUCUUGAUUUCAGAAGGACCAUGUAGUAUUGGACACCUUCGAAGCUACUACAUAGCCGUAGCACAUACCAUGGAGUAUUAUGAUGUUUCUGACGCAUGCAUAUUUGUACUUCAAAACUACUAAAAGUAGUAUAUAUUUUUUCUGGGAAUUUUAUAGCAAAAUCUAUACAUUUAAAUGCUCAAUGCCUAAAACCUUCUAUCCUCUUUGUAAAUUAUUCCUAUACACAGAAAUUGGUUUUUUUAUCCUGUCAGUUAGAAGGGAAAAAUGGUUUGUGGUUCAUGCACGUGCUUCCAUCAAGAGAAGAAAAAACGCAUCAUCCAUCCGCACAAGAAACCGUUUCAAUAUGAUCAGUUGCUGCAAAAAAGGAAAGUUGCGGCUAAUUAAAGAGUUAUGAUCAUUUGUCGAGGUCAUUCAUGUGCGGGACAGUAGCUAGAUUUGGAGCCUGAUUUGAGUUCGCAGUUCACACCAUAGUUUUUAUUUGUUAACAGUAAUGAUCCAAACGGGUGCUAAAUCAAUUUUGAAUAUGUUGUUAGUUUAAGCAACAUUGUAAUGUGCUAUAAGAUGCAAAAUAGACUCUCACAUAUGCAUGCUCUA